CAGGGCUGUUGGGUUUUGCAGGGAUUUAUUUUCCUCCAUUUCCCUCCCAACAUUCAACUCAACCCCUUUCCACCCCUAACACCAUAUAACCGUCCUUCAUCUCUCACCCUCCUUUUGUUCCUUCUGAUGCCAAGAAGAAAAAAAAACUAGCACAAUUCCUUGUUUUGAAAAGUUGAUUUAUUCCAAGCAGCAGAGUGGAGUUCACCUAUCUAUACCUCUUUGAGACAGGAAAAGAGAAAGCAGAAACUGAGACGCAAACAAGGCUCCCGGAAACUUCCCUCUGCUCUGCGUUCCUCCCAGGAGCCCAGGAGAAAGACCGAAUGAAAAGCAUCCUUCAAACAAGCCCAGGAAGGAAAGCCAAGUCCUCCCUGUGGGGUCCCUGGGAGCAGCCUCUGGAAGGCUCUUGAAGGGAGAGAAGAGAGUGAAGUCAAGGCAUUAAUUUUCCUGGACCGUUUCUUGUGAAGGUCAAUUCUUUGCAACUAUCGAGGUUACUCUAUUGGUCAGCUGUGGUUGUAUAGUAACCCCAAACUCUCGGUGGCGGUACGACCAUGGCACCCAUUUCUCAAAUACCUUCAGGGGGCCUGCUGAUCAACCCUGCUGUAAUAAUAAGUCCUGAUUUUCCGUAAUUGAUGUUUUGACAUCUUCCAAGCAUGAACCAAGCUAAUGGCUGAAGCUGUUUACACCCGUAUGACCCCUGUGUUAUUGCAGAUUACAUAGAUAACAUAUUAUGAACCCUCUCACGCCAAACCCCAAUAUUGCAUUUUGCUCCUACCCACUUAGAGGAUGCCCCCACCUCAUGACUUUUCACGGCUAUAGUAUUAAAGAUUCUCACCUACGCUCGCUCCCUCUGCCUGCCGACUGACCCUGCUCCUUCCCCGUGUGGCCCUUCGUGACAUACCAUAUCCCCUCCUCCUGGAAACUGUGGAAGAAGAAUUCUGAAAGGACAUCGAUUUCCCGUGAAGGCAGAGGCGACUGUGAACCGUCACCACACGAAAGUGACAAUUUCUGGCUAAAAGCAGCCAACCGAAUGGGUACAAAACCACCCUAACACCAUCAAAGGCCGACCCAGGCAGUGGUGACCAAGGCUUCAAACACGCUGAGGAUGCUUUGUGAUGCUCAACAGAUUCUCACUGAUUGACUGGGAGGUGGAUUUGGAAUGAAGUGAUCGGGGGACUUUCUGUUUGUAUGACCUCUUUGAGCCCUGGUGUUCUUCUCUAUAAAAGGCGAUGGCAUUACCUGCCUUAAGAGCUGCUGUGACAACAAAAAGCCCAUGUACGAAUGAGCUGUGCAAAAAUUUACACACCGUGAUUCAUGCGCGUUAUUGGCUGGUUUUGGUGGUGGCCGUAGACGUGUUAGCUGUUAUUAUUCACUGCUGUGACUGAGGACGGUUUGAAAUAAAAUAGCUCCUCGUUCUA